rnacentral:misc_RNA from 1 species
GAUGAAGAACGCAGCGAAAUGCGAUAAGUAAUGUGAAUUGCAGAAUUCCGUGAAUCAUCGAAUUUUUGAACGCAUAUUGCGCCCUCUGGUAUUCCGGAGGGCAUGCCUGUCCGAGCGUGAUUACUAUCUUCAAGCUCAGCUUGGUGUUGGGCCCCGCCGCCCCGGCGGGCCCUAAAGUCAGUGGCGGUGCCGUCCGGCUCCGAGCGUAGUAAUUCUUCUCGCUCUGGAGGUCCGGUCGUGUGCUCGCCAGCAACCCCCAAUUUUUUUCAGGUUGACCUCGGAUCAGGUAGGGAUACCCGCUGAACUUAAGCAUAUCAAUAAGCGGAGGA